rnacentral:tRNA from 1 species
GGGUAGGGCACUGGCCUCAUAUGCCAGAGGUGGUGGGUUCAAAUCCAACCCUGCCCA